CUAAUACAUGCAAGUCGUGGGGCAGCAGUACUUUUCGGAGUAGCUGGCGACCGGCGCACGGGUGCGUAACGCGUAUGCAACCUACCUAUAACAGGAGGAUAGCCCGGGGAAACCCGGAUUAAUACUCCAUAACGCAGGGGUACUGCAUAGUACUAUUUGCUAAAGUCUUCGGGCGGUUAUAGAUGGGCAUGCGUUAGAUUAGCUAGUUGGUGAGGUAACGGCUCACCAAGGCGACGAUCUAUAGGGGUUCUGAGAGGAUGAUCCCCCACACUGGUACUGAGAUACGGACCAGACUCCUACGGGAGGCAGCAGUAGGGAAUAUUGGUCAAUGGGCGCAAGCCUGAACCAGCCAUGCCGCGUGCAGGAAGACGGCCUUCUGGGUUGUAAACUGCUUUUAUCAGGGAAGAAACUGGCCAUGCGUGGCAACUUGACGGUACCUGAUGAAUAAGCACCGGCUAACUCCGUGCCAGCAGCCGCGGUAAUACGGAGGGUGCAAGCGUUGUCCGGAUUUAUUGGGUUUAAAGGGUGCGUAGGCGGCGUAUUAAGUCAGUGGUGAAAUCCUACAGCUUAACUGUAGAACUGCCAUUGAUACUGAUAUGCUUGAGUAUGGUCAAGGUAGGCGGAAUUUAUGGUGUAGCGGUGAAAUGCAUAGAUACCAUAAGGAACACCGAUAGCGGAGGCAGCUUACUGGGCCGUAACUGACGCUGAGGCACGAAAGCGUGGGGAGCGAACAGGAUUAGAUACCCUGGUAGUCCACGCUGUAAACGAUGCUCACUCGAUGUUGGCGAUAGACAGUCAGCGUCCAAGCGAAAGCGAUAAGUGAGCCACCUGGGGAGUACGCCGGCAACGGUGAAACUCAAAGGAAUUGACGG
rnacentral:rRNA from 1 species